UUGCACGCUGGCGGCAUGCCUUACCCCUGCCAGUCGCACGGCAGCACGGGUGCUUGCACCUGGUGGCGAGUGGCGAACGGGUGAGUAAUACAUCGGAACAUGUCCUGUAGUGGGGGAUAGCCCGGCGAAAGCCGGAUUAAUACCGCAUACGAUCUACGGAUGAAAGCGGGGGACCUUCGGGCCUCGCGCUAUAGGGUUGGCCGAUGGCUGAUUAGCUAGUUGGUGGGGUAAAGGCCUACCAAGGCGACGAUCAGUAGCUGGUCUGAGAGGACGACCAGCCACACUGGGACUGAGACACGGCCCAGACUCCUACGGGAGGCAGCAGUGGGGAAUUUUGGACAAUGGGCGAAAGCCUGAUCCAGCAAUGCCGCGUGUGUGAAGAAGGCCUUCGGGUUGUAAAGCACUUUUGUCCGGAAAGAAAUCCUUGGCCCUAAUACGGUCGGGGGAUGACGGUACCGGAAGAAUAAGCACCGGCUAACUACGUG
rnacentral:rRNA from 1 species